UACAGAGGUCCCGAGCGUUCUUCGGAAUUACUGGGCGUAAAGCGCACGCAGGCGGUUCGCCAAGUUUGGAGUGACAGUUGUCGGCUCAACCGACAAAGGACUUCAAAAACUGGUGAACUUGAGGACGAGAGAGGAACAUGGAACUCCAGGUGUAGUAGUGAAAUGCGUAGAUAUCUGGAAGAACACCAAUGGCGAAGGCAAUGUUCUGGCUCGUUUCUGACGCUCAGGUGCGAAAGCCAGGGGAGCGAACGGG
rnacentral:rRNA from 1 species